GGAUUGUGGCUCAGUGGUAGAAUGCUUACCUAACAUGUGGGAGGCGAUGGGUUCAAUCCUCAGCACCA
rnacentral:tRNA from 1 species